UACGUAGGUGGCAAGCGUUGUCCGGAUUUAUUGGGUUUAAAGGGUGCGUAGGCGGUCUUCUAAGUCAGUUGUGAAAUACUUCAGCUUAACUGGAGAGGUGCAAUUGAUACUGGAAGACUUGAGUACUGAUGAGGUAGGCGGAAUGGACGGUGUAGCGGUGAAAUGCGUAGAUAUCUGGAGGAACACCGGUGGCGAAGGCGGCGUUCUGGACUGCAACUGACACUGAGGAACGAAAGCCAGGGGAGCAAACGGG
rnacentral:rRNA from 1 species